rnacentral:rRNA from 1 species
UACGUAGGGCCCAAGCGUUGUUCGGAUUUACUGGGCGUAAAGGGCGCGUAGGCGGCAAUUCAAGUCAUCUGUGAAAUCUCCGGGCUUAACUCGGAACGGUCAGAUGAUACUGCUUUGCUAGAGUGCGGAAGGGGCAAUCGGAAUUCUUGGUGUAGCGGUGAAAUGCGUAGAUAUCAAGAGGAACACCUGAGGUGAAGACGGGUUGCUGGGCCGACACUGACGCUGAUGCGCGAAAGCCAGGGGAGCAAACGGG